UAAUUGGGGUAGGAGAUACGCGUCGUUCGAGGAGUCACCAUGUGAAGACUGAAUGCGUAUAAAUAUGUUACAAGUGGGGUGAAAAGUAGAUCAGAACGUCUAAAUACCAACGGUGGACGUACGUCGUGACUUAGAAAGUGUUAAUCGUGCAAUUGACCGACGUUUCCGUUUACGCUGUACCCUCGGUAGAACUGGUUUGUCACUAUGCUACGUGUACAUUGAUAAAUAAAUCUAUCGAUGUGCAUGGCUCUUGAAACUGUAUUUAUCUCAAUUAAAUAUCGUUUGCUACUGAGAACGUGAUAAGGAUAAUGAAAAUACGCCAACGCAUUUUCGCUUUUGAGAUCAAGUGAAACUGGAGCUUGACACAAAUAGGGAAAACAUACAUAUUAUAUAUUUUCAGUUACGCUUGUAAUGCAGAGGAAAACAUGAAGACUUGCAAACUUUUCUUUCUAUGAUUUUAUGAAUAGUUUAAUUUUCUACGAGAAGUUUGUUCAAAAUAUAGAAAAAAAUUGCUCGAAAAGUUCUUUUUGUGGUUAGAAAGCUAACUAUGUGUGUAUAAUAAAUAGUAAUAUCGUAAGAAUAUGUAAAUUAUUAGAAAUUUAUGUUAAAUUAUGUGUACACGAUUGUAUAGUACGUAUAAAGCAAACAUAUGCUAGUAACAAGUCAAGGAUAUCAUACUGUUUACCUGUUUUUUAUCCUUCAUGUGCCUAAGUAUAAAUACACUUAGGUAUAUAUAACUUAAAAUAUCUUUUAAAUGAGUUAAAUAUAUGUAUAAUGAUAUACAUGAUAAAUUUGAAUCCCGUGCGCGGCGCUGAUUGGAAAAGUAAUUUUGUCGCAUUAGCCAGUCAGAAAUUAACUAAACGAUUCUGUAGACGCGAACGUCAUUCUCCCGCCGAAAACCGUGGCAUAAACAUUACGAUCCGGUUUCAGCAUUUACUAACAUUACGAGACUGUGAGGUUUGAUGAUUCAUUCCUUCGUGGUGACGAUUUCUGAGCUCCAAGAGCCAAGAAUAUUUUUCACAUUACGCCAUGGAAUGCAGUGGGUCUUUUUUGAUGACUGCUUUUGCGAUAGCUUAGGACGAUUUACUGCAGCGUUGGUGGCAACAUCCUUCGCAUCUAAUCCAGGUUCAACUACCGUUCAGAGUAAGUCUCCGUUCAC